rnacentral:misc_RNA from 1 species
GAUGAAGAACGUAGCAAAAUGCGAUACUUGGUGUGAAUUGCAGAAUCCCGUGAACCAUCGAGUUUUUGAACGCAAGUUGCGCCCGAAGCCUUUUGGCCGAGGGCACGUCUGCCUGGGCGUCACGCAUCGCGUCGCCCCCCACAAUUCUCCGUAAAGGGAACGUGUGUUUUGGGGGCGGAUAUUGGUCUCCCGUGCUCAUGGCGUGGUUGGCCGAAAUAGGAGUCCUUUCGAUGGACGCACGAACUAGUGGUGGUCGUAAAAACCCUCGUCUUUUGUUUCGUGCUGUUGCUCGCAAGGUAAACUCUUUAAAAACCCCAAUGUGUCGUCUCUUGACGACGCUUCGACCGCGACCCCAGGUCAGGCGGGACUACCCGCUGAGUUUAAGCAUAUAAUAAGCGGAGGA